ensembl:lncRNA
UCAUACAGGAUACCAGACGGGAGUUUGAUGUCCCCAUAUGGGCAAAUGUCAAGUGCUCCUUCCUCUCCCAUGCUCGGUAACGCACUUCAAAACCGGCAAAUGAUGCAAUCUGGGUACAGGAUACCAGGUGGAACAUUGAUGUCCCCAUAUGGGCCACAAAUGUCUAGUGCUCCGUCCUCCCCGAUGCUGGGCAGUGCACUCCAAAACAGACAGAUGAUGCAAUCUGGGUACCGGCUACCUGAUGGAACCUUGAUGUCUCCAUAUGGGCCACAGAGGUCUAGUGCUCCAUCCUCCCCGAUGCUGGGUAAUGCUCUCCAAAACCAGCAGCUUCGUGGAGCCUCAUACACCCUGCCGGAUGGAAGGGUUUUCAGGGACCCAUAUCAGCCCACUUCUCCUAAUCUCUCUGGAGCUCUCAGGAACCCAAAUGUCAGAAACGCCUCCUACACUCUCCCAGACGGCACCAUCGCAGACCCGAGGCAACGGAUGCCCAUGUCACCCAACUUGGCGCGGGCCCUGAACAACCCGGCGGUCCGCAGGGCGUCCUACUCCCUCCCGGACGGGACCAUCAUGAUCGACCCCAACCAGGCCUCGUCCCCGAGUCUCACGGCGGCCCUCCAGAAC